rnacentral:rRNA from 1 species
UACAGAGGCCUCGAGCGUUAGGCGGAAUCACUGGGCUUAAAGCGUGUGUAGGCGGCCUUCUAAGUACCUUGUGAAAUCCCACGGCUUACCCGUGGAACUGCUGGGUAUACUGGUUGUCUUGAGCCACUUAGGGGCUACCGGAACAAAUGGUGGAGCGGUGAAAUGCGUAGAUAUCAUUUGGAACGCCAAUGGUGAAAACAGGUAGCUGGGAGUGUGCUGACGCUGAGACACGAAAGCCAGGGGAGCGAACGGG